rnacentral:tRNA from 1 species
GGGGAUUUAGCUCAGCGGCAUAAGCGCCUGCCUUGAAAGCAGGCAGUCCUGAGUUCGAUCCCCAGUACCG